rnacentral:lncRNA from 1 species
CAACAAUGUAUUUCUCAGAACAUGUCCCUGUCAUAAUGGGGCGAUGACAGUGCUUCCAGAGAGGCCUCCCUCUCCAGGAGCCACAGCUCCCAUCGUUUCUUUCCCAGCUGCUUCACUCAGUUUACCAUUCCCGCCUGGUGCCUAAAAAGUCUGAGUUUGUGAACUCAGCUCUAAAUUUCCCUUCCUGUCUUUGUUACCUAUCGUUCACGCUGGAAUGAAUGGAAAAGGCUUGAAGGAAAGCCUGCCAGCCGCUCAGAUUGACUUUGCAAGGGGGAUCACCACAGAGAUAGAAGUCUACCUCUGUUGCUCAAGCUGGUCUUGAACUCCUGGCCCCAAGUGAUCCUCCUGCCUCAGCCUCCCAACUUGCUGGAUUACAGGCAUGAGCUGCUGCACCUGCCCAGCGUUAUGAACAGAACUUUAUUUUUUCCAACCUAAACCAAUCAUCCUGCAUUGGGAUGGAUGGAUUGAGGGAAAGAUCAUGGUACCAGAUCUGCAGGCAGCUGGGGACAGAAGUCUUCACUUGCAUGGGUGGUGAGAGCAGAACUGAGAAGGUGGGGUCAACUUUAAAGAUGGGCAUUUCCAAGGACACGGAGUAUUGAGCAUUGAGUCCACUGGGAGGACACCAAACGCCAGGCUCCAGAGAUCCAAAUUUGUAGAAUCGCAUGAAUCCCAAGAAAUCACAAGAGAUCUUAGAAGAAAAGGAUCCUUCAAGUGUGGUGAGUGCAGUAAGGGAUCUAGUAGGAAGUCACAUCUUGCUGUUUGCAGAGUAAAGACGUGUGAAGAAGCCCUGAAGAACAGCCACAAGUUCUCCCACAGCCGUGCACUGCUCCAGGGAAAACCCACACCUGCAGUGAGCGCAGGAACAUCACUGUGUGACGACGUGGCCGUCCGCUGCAGAGAAGGCCCAGGAGUGUGUGGAAAGCCUCCACAGAUGUAGCCCACAUGGAAGAGCCUAGCAGAUGAUGAGGCCCUUUCCUCCCACCACAGAGCACGUGUGAGAAUGGAGCGCAGGCACCUUCUCUCAGAAGGCCAUUGUUGUUGAUCAGGCGGUCCACUCUGGAGACUUUGGAAGCUGUCUAGGAUGUAAAGAAUGCAGGAAUGAUUUCAGAGAGGGAUCACACCUCACUGCACGCCAGAGAGUUCAGGCUCCAAUGAGCCAUAUAUGUGCAGGAGGUGUGGAAGAGCUUUUGUGUGUGUUAUACUGCAGAACUGGAGGGACGCCAUCAGUGUACCUGAGUGGCAAAGCCUUUAGGGAGAGCUCCCAAGUCCUGGCUCAUCAGUGCAUUCACACAAGGGGAAAAGCCUUUUACAGGUGGGGAGGCCUUCAGGGAUCAGCCUCACGUCAUUGUCAGAGUUUUCAUUUUGGGAAGAAGCCUUUACAUUUUUAUUUUUUGAGACAGUGUAACUCUGUCGACCAGGCUGGAGUGCAGUUGUGCAAUCACAGCUCACUGCAGUCUUGACUUCCUGGGCUCAAGUCAUCCUCCCACCUCAGCCUACUGAGUAGCUGGGACUACAGGUACACACCACCAUGCCCAGCUAAGGAAGGAGCCUUAAGAAUGCCAGAGGUCAACCAGGCACAGUGGCACACGCCUGCAAUCCCAGCACUUUGAGAGGCCAAGGCGGACGGAUCACCUGAGGUCAGGAGUUUGAGACUAGCCUGACCAACAUGGAGAAACCUCGUCUCUACCAAAAAGACGAAAUUAGCCAGGCGUGGUGGCGCAUUCCUGUAAUCCCAGCUACUUGGGAGGCUGAGGCAGGAGAAUCACUUGACCCCGGAAGGCAGAGGUUGCGGUGAGCCGAGAUCGUGCCAUUGCACUCCAGUCUGGGUGACAGAGCAAGACUCUGUCUCCAAAAAAAAAAAAAAAAAAAAAAAAAAGGCCAGGUGCCGCGGCUCACGCCUGUAAUCCCAACACUUUGGGAGGCCGAGGUGGGUGGAUCACUUGAGGUCAGGAGUUCAAGACCAGCCUGGCUAACAUGGUGAAACCCCGUCUCUACUAAAAUACAAAAAAAUUAGCUGGGCUUGGUGUCACACGCCUGUAAUCCCAGCUACUCAGGAGGCUGAGGCAGGAGAAUUGCUUGAACCUGGGAGGUGGAGGUUGCAGUGAACUGUCAUCAUGCCACUGCACUCCAGCCUGGGUGACAGAGCGAGACUGCGUCUCAAAAAAUAAAUAAAUAAAUAAGAAAGAAAGAAUGCCAGAGGUGUGGACAAGUGUUCAGACAUAACUAGAAUCUCAUGGCCCAUCAGAGUCCACAUAAGAGAGAAGCCUGGGAAUGCCAUCAGUGUGGCUGGACAAGGAAUACCAGCCUUAUAAAUCAUCAGACUCCACUCUGGGGAGAGACAUUGACUGGGAGGGAGGAGGGAAGAAAGGCUGUGGAUAAUCAUGGGGACCUUCAUUAACAUAGUAGAAUUCACACAGUUUCAAAUCCCAUGAGUGUAAUGAGUGGGAAAGCAGAAAAAAGAUCACACCUUACUCUACCCUAGAAUUCAUGUAGGAGAGAGAUGGUACAAACAAACCACAGAGAGAAAAGCCUUCACUUGUAGCUAAUUCAUUCCAGAGAAGGGCUUGGCAAGCUGUUUUUGUAAAGGACCAGAGAGUAAAUCUGUUUAGGCUUUGGGGGCCGUGUGGUCUCUGCUGUAACUGCUUAGCUGUACUGGGAGCACAAAGAUGGCCACAGAUAGCAUGUGUGCAAAUGGGCAUGGUUGAGUUCCGGUAAAGCUUAGCUUUCUUCUUGUUUUUUUCUUUCUUUCUUUCUUUUCUUUUCUUUUCUUUUUUUUUUUUUUUUUUUUUUUUUGAGACAGGGUCUCACUUUGUCGCCCAGGCUGGAGUACAGUGGCGCCAUCAUGGUUCACUGCAGCCUCAACCUCCCAGACUCAUGUGAUCCUCCCACCUCAGCUUCCUGGGUAGCUCGGACUAUAGGCACCAGCCACCCCGCCCAGCUAAUUUUUGUAUUUUUAGUAGAGACAGGGUUUCACCAUGUCACCCAGGCUGGUCUCGAACUCCUGAGCUCAAGGAAUCUGCCCGACUCAGCCUCCCAAAGUGCUGGGAUUACAGGCGUGAGCCACCGCAUCUGGCCUCAGUGAAGCUUUUUUUCCAAAACAAGUGGCCACUCAGGUUUGGCCAAGGGGUGUACUUUGCCAACGCCUGUUCUAGAGGUUUGAGGGGAGGAGUCACACUAGAUGGGGGCUCCUGCAGAGAAAUCUCACAGGAGCAAGGUUAGUGUAGCAGAACCUGCAGGGCUGCCCGCCUUAUCAGGGGGGUCUAGCAGGAGACACAUGGACGGUCCAGAGACCUGAGUUCUGCCAUGAAAUAGCUGAAGGACUAGCCCCCCGUCUCUCAAAAGCAUGGGGCUUCUAUGAGAAGCAAAAUAAUGUAUCUGCACAUGCAUUUGUUUGUUUGUUUGUUUGUUUUUGAGACAGUCUUGCUCUGUCGCCCAGGCUGGAGUGCAGUGGUGCAAUCUCGGCUCACUGCAACUUCCACCUUCCAGGUUCAAGCGAUUCUCCUUCCUCAGCCUCAGGAGUAGCUGGGAUUACAGGUACCCGCCACCAUGCCCAGCUAAUUUUUGUAUUUUUAGUAGAGACAGGUUUCACGAUGUUGGUCAGGCUGGUCUCGAACUCCUGACUUCAGGUGAUCCACCCGCCUCGGUCUCUCAAAAUGCUGGGAUUACAGGCAUGAGCCAAUGUGCCCGGCCGGCACAUGCUUUGGAAGUAAUAUGGUAAGUACACCUAAAAUGGUGAUUUAUGUGAAAAGAGUCACUCUUUCUCUAAAUAGUUGUUGAGCCCCUGCUCUGUGCCACCUUCCUGCCAGAGGUAAAUUCAGGAGUGUCAGAAUGCAU